ensembl:lincRNA
CAGGGUGCCGGUUCGGCUGUGUUCACAGGGCAGCAGCGCGGCCUGAGGACCCACCCCGUCCUGGGCCGGGACAACGCGUCCUCCCCGCUGUGUCCCCGAGACAGGCCCCUGUCGUGGUCUCCAUCGCUGUCCCCAGGCCACCCCUGCCUCUCCCUGCUCACGAACACAGGCAGCUGCACCUGGGAAAGAUCCCUCUGAGCACACAAAGCCGCCUAAGUCAGGAUCCCUAGCCUCUUCCACACCAAAAGCCAGUUCCCUCGCCACUCAUCCGGGAUUCAGCUACCAUGCCGCGGUCUCCACCUUAGCACAGGGACUUUCCCUUUUUGUCCCCAAAGCCUUAGGAGGCCAACAGCCUCCAGGACUGCAGGACUCCAGUCGUCCCAGGGCCUCCUCCCUUCCCGAGAUCCCGGCUACUCACUGAGGAAAGCGAUGGCCCCGAGGAGCCAUGAGGCCCAGCAGAGACGGGGGGCUCCUGGGCGGGGGCCCAUCACAGCUGUCUGCAGUUCUGAACUGCAGAGGCAAGAAAGGAGGAAGAGCUCAAGGCUUAUAUGCUAACCCUGGGGGCGGGGCCACCAGUCACCAGCAGCCAGACCAGGAUACACAAACACUCAGCUCUCCCGCCUCCCAGCACACGCAACGUGCCCGUGACGUGGAACUGCAGGGUCGCCGGGGCCGGUCCUGCCACCCACAACCUAAGCAGAAGAGCGUGGUUUGCCUCAGUUUCAUGAGACUCAGGCUGUGUCUGCUGGCUCGAGAGCAGAUCCAUCAAGGCAGAAGGGCAAAGCUGCUUGUUUCACGCCAGCUGGAAGCACAGCAGGUUAAUGGUUCCAGAGAGGACGGGUCCAGGCGUGACACACAGUACCCCAUGCGACCCCUCAGCGACGCACCAUGACGUACGCACAAGUGUGCUUCACUGAGCUCCCAUCCAUUGCAGAGUGGAUCGACGCACAGCCUGUCCUCAGUGCCACAGUGAAACUCCAGUGGGAUUCUCAGUAGAAACAAUGCAACGCAGGGCACGGAGGAGCAGCAGCGGUAGGGAAACAAGUUCAAACCACCAUUGACCUCCAAUCAGUACUCAAUGAACAUGUCUUACGAAAUCAGUGAAGUUAAUCUUUCCCCUGCACAAAAGUAAAAGAAGGUCUUGGCACCAGGUUUCUCUAUUACCAGUGUUAAACUGAGUCUUUAAUUCAGAAGGAAAAUAAUGACAAGAUCACAAAAUGUUUAGUGUAAGGGAUACUGCUGUGUAAUGUUUUAGGGUUAGUGUUAGAAUGGUGGUUAGGGCUGGGAUUAGGGCUCGCACUACAACUAUGAUUACGGUUUGGUUUAGGGUUAUGAUUAGGACUAGUACUAGAGAUACAGCUAGGGAGAAGUCUGGGUAAGUAUUCUGUAAGUAUAGAACUGUAGUUAGGGUUACUGUCAGGAUUCUGGUUAGGGUAAUAGUUACGUCUAAGGCUAGUAUGUAUCCAGAUGUUCCCCCAAAGUCUUAUGCAGUCAUAGGUGGGUUUUUUCCGAGGUAGCUGGAUGUAGGACGUGUGAUGUUGGGAUGAUGAGGUUGAUGUUGGGAUUAAGGAGCCCCACCCAAGGAGCGGGCGGCCUGGACAAAAUAUAAAGGCAGGCUUCUUGCUGUGCAGCUGUUUGCAGCACAUCUGUGCUUCUCUGCUUCCUGUGCCUGCCCUGCCACACCUUGGACGGUUUCUCCUCCUCGAUGCCCCUCUGCCAAGCCACCCUGCCUUGGAGUCAGCUGACUAUGGUUUGAAACAUGUACAAACUAUGAGCUCCAAUAAACCAUCCCUCCUUUAACUUUGGGUGUCAGCAAAGAGAAGGGAUCUAAGAUGGAGCCAAAGGAUUUUCCCCCGCAGAGGCUACAUCUUCUUUUUCUGAAAUACUUUAUAAAUAUGUAGUAAAAAGGCAAGAAAUCCAAACAAUCCAAGCUGCUUGCUCAACUCUUUCCCCAAUUAGAUUCUCAGUCCUGGCGAUCAAUUUCAUGGUUGUCUUUCUUAUGUCUUAUGGUGCAAAAGGAUGUUUGCCUGACUUUUCUAAAACAUCUCUGGUAUGUAUUUUCAAUGAUGUAUGCAACUCAUACUGGUCAGGUACUGAUGUCCCAGUGCCUGUUUUCAAAGGAUUCAGGACACUGAUUUGGAUUCACCAUAAACUUUUGCAUGAGUCCAAAAUUUCCUUUCCUACCAUGUUUUUCACCUGUUCUCCUUUAAUUCCUAAUUUUCAACCUAGAGGACCACCUGGUUCUCGGAAAGAUGUUCAGUCCAGUAGACAAAAGUUUGCUCUGGGACCAUUACAGUUCAUGGCCCUUUUCCACAUGGACACUUAGCUCAUGCAGAUGUGAAAGAGGAAACAAUGUCAAAUUACGGUCAAGUCAUCCAAAGGAAGAAGUUAUACACACUCACAGGGAAAUGACAGUCUUUUUUUUCCCCCUUCCUUUCCUAUAAUACAUUUAUCAACUUAGCAGAAAGACAAGCUGAAUUUAAGAUUGUUCACAUUUGAAAAAUGUGUCAUAUUCUCUGCUAGUAAUAAAUAAGGAACCCCUGAUAAUGGAAUUUUAACAUAGCAAUUUCAUCAACAGAUCUUUGAAGACUGCUUUUGUAUUUGUUUGGGGUUUUUUUUUAGGUACCAGGGAUUGAACUCAGGAUCUUUUGCCUGCAAGGCAGGUGGUGGAACUACUGAGCUAAAUCCCUGGCAUUCUGUUUUUAAGAGGGUAAAAACAAUGAUGAUGUUUGCAAAGUUCAGCGAAGUCCAUCUUCUGUCCAAGCUUUGGAUGGAAGCCCUUAUUUUUUUCUUUUACUUAGAGACAGGGUAGAUACAGUACUGUUGUAAUAGUGAAACAAUUCUGAAGUCCACUGAAAAGUUGCACAAUACAGAAAUCUGUUGCUCCAUCUUCUCCGACAUAAAGGAGUGACUACACUGGUUAGCAACGUUGGCAUACUUUUGUUGAGUUGGAAUUAUCCCAUGAUGUGCAAGACCUCUCUUUAACUCCAGAUCCUCCAAUUUUCCCCACAAUUCUCUGCGCUCUUUUCCACACUGCCAAUCUGACUUGUGUGUUGCUGUGAGUUCAUCAAACGUGGAGCCGUUCACUCCAUAAGUGCCUUCAACACACUGGCCACUCAUGUGGCAAGAGCCAGAUUCCAGUGUUCUUUUGAAACCCUACGGAGGCUUCCCAGUUCCCAGUUCCCUGUGAAGGCGGCCAUUCUCUCAUAAGAGGUCUCGAGUCCUGCAUUCAAUUUGUUGCAGCUGUAUCUCUAAUUCAGCUUCAUAGUCUCAGUGUUCUUUUGAAACCCUACAGAGGCUUCCCAGUUCCCAGUUCCCUGUGAAGGCGGCCAUUCUCUCAUGAGAGGUCUCGAGUCCUGCAUUCAAUUUGCUGCAGCUGUCUCUCUAUUUCAGCUUCCCUCCUGGAAUUCGAGGAGUUCUUCCUGUGUAUUCUCCGCCCUCUGCUUGCAGGUCAUCGCUAGAUCUUUCCGAUAGUCUGCUGCUUCUUCCUCGGGGAGGAGAGUCUUUCCCAAGUCCUCCACUGUGAAGACAGGCAGGAGCUCACUCUUCUUGUGGCAUGGUGCCUGGCUCAGGCGGAGAAGACGCGGCCUGGCCCAGUCUUAGUCAUGGUGGUCUGGGUACAAAAUAAGGCACAGAAAGAAGCUUGUCCUGACCCUAGCUUGCUUGCUUUGCUGCCUUCUAUCUGCCGUGAGCGGUUUCUCCCCUGCAGUGCCUCUCUGCCAGGCCACUCUGCCUUGGAUCCAACAAUUAUGGACUGAAACCGGUACAAACUGUGAGCUAAAUAAACUUU